ACAGAAGCAGCAGCGGAAAUGGCCCCGCGCGGCAGGAAGCGAAGGUGCCACUGCAGAAGCGGGCAGUGCCCUCCAUGAGGUGCGAAACUGUCUUCAAGCUGACUCCUGAAUUCUUCAGUCCUGGAAAGUCCAGGGGCCUAGAUUCUCAACAAUGCGCACAAAGGCAGAGAUGGGGAUACCGGAGGAGCCUCCAGGAAUCAUGGGCCCAGAACCUGCUCUCUCCACAGCACCCAUGUCCAGGCCCACCUUCGGGUGUCCACACCCACUCUGAGCCCAUCUUUUGUACCACCUCCAUUUCAAACACCUGUUUACUGCCUCAGAACAGUUCCUGGAAAGCAUGGCAGGUGCCUUGGUGUCUCCAUGAUGGUCAGACUCGCCCUGCCUUGGACAUGUGUCAAGAGAUGGAGCAGCUGCUGCUUCACUCACAGGAAAGGUUGGUGUCACUGGAGCCUGUCAUCAGUGUGAGGUCUCGCCCCACCUCCAUGACCUUAACCACCUCUCUUCCAAACUUACUUUCAGCUGAGAGGCUGCAGUUCUGCCCCCAGAGAGCUCCUGCCUGAUCCUUCCCACCAAACACUGAGAAUGUGCACUUGGAAGUCUUGGCACUGUCGACCAGAGGCCUGGGAACCAGGGGGUAAAAACCAGAAAGCAGGCAGAGAGGAUAGUAGAGAGACCCAGGCUCCAAGGUGGGUGAACCAGACAGGGAGCAGACGGGAGGAUGCUUCAGAAAUCCAGGCAUCUGGGGAGUAGUUCCCAGUAGACUUUGGAAUGGAGGGUGAUGCAGAGACUAACGUGUUGGAGUGUGCAAACCAGAGACUAGUAAUAAGUGAAACUGAUGGCGAGAUCUUGACACCAGGGUGGGACACCCAGGACCGGAUGGGAGUUGAGAGUAGAACCAACAUUCAGGAACUAGGGAAUAGAAACCAGAGGGAGGCUGGAGGUGAGAAUCUCCCUGAAACCCAGGCACAUAUGGGAGAGAACCAAGAACAGUUAAGAUGUAAAAUUGAUGCAGAGACCCAAACACCUGAGUGGGAGAACCAGGAUAAGAAUGGAAGUGAGGAUGCUGUGGAGACCCAGACAUUUGAGAAGAAGGACAAGAAAGAGGCUGGAGAGGAGGAUGGGGAAGAGAUCCAGGCUCAAGGAUUGGGGAAGCAAGGCCAGACUGGAGAUGAGAAUGGUGAGGAGACCCAGACACCACAGUGGGAGAAACAAGAUCAGAUGAAAGGUGAUGCGGAUGUGGAAAUUCAGAUGGAAGAGGGGAGAAACAAGGAUCAGGUUGGAGGUCAGGAUGCUGCACAAACCCAAUCAUGUGGGAGGGAGAACGUGGGAGAAGUAAAAAAAGAGAAUAGUGUAGAGACCCAGGCCUUGGAUUGGGGAAAACAGGAAUGUGUUGGAAAUGGGAAUGUUACAGAGAUCCAGACACCAAGGUGGGAGAAGCAUGAUCAAGGUGGAAGUAAGAAAGCUAAGAAGACCCAAGCAUCUGGGGGAGAGAACCAGAAACAAUUAAGUCAUGAAAUUCAAGUGGGGUGGGGAAAUAAGGGCCUGAGAAGAGAUGAAGAUGCUAAGGAAACCCAGAUAGCUACCAAGAAGAAGCUCAGGGAGAUAAGAGAAGGAUUGGGUGGUGAUCCAGGCACUAUGGUGGGGAAACCGGAGACAAGUAGCAAGUGAAAUUUAUAGAGAAUUUGAGAUACUAUGUUGGGAGAAUCAGAACUGGAUUGGAGGUGAACAUAGAGCAGAAAUUCAGGCAUCAGAGAAGAGAGACCAAAGAAAGGAUGGAUGUGAGGAUGGCACAAAUAUCCUGGCACCCGAGGCUGAGAUCCAGGAACAAUUAAAAGGUGAAACUGAUGUGGAGACUCAGAGCAAUGAGCCACUUAGAGAAGAGGAUGGUACAGACAUUCAGUCACUAGGGAGGAGAGAGGUUAAAGGUGAGGAUGAUAAAGACACCCAGGAACUUGGGAGGAAAAAUCAGGGUCAGUUAGGAAAUGAAUUUAGUGGAAAGAUUCACAUACCAAAGGGGAAGAAUCAGGAACAUAUUAGAGGCGAAGAUGGUGCACAUACCCAGAUAUCUGAGUCAGGGAACUGGGGCAAAUUAACAAGUCAAAUUGAUGGAGAAAUGCAUUCAGCAGAAUGGAAGAAAGAUCAGCAGAUUGGAGGUGAGAAUGGGGCAGAAAUUCAGAUACAAGGGAAGAGAAACCUGAGAGAAGUUGGAGGUGAGGACGGUGUAAAGACCUGGGCACCUGGGAAAGAAACCCAGAGUCAGUUUAGAAGUGAUCUUGGUAGAAAGAUCCUUUUAUCAGAGUGGAAGAGCCAGAAGCAGAUGGGAAGUGAGAAUGGAACAGAAAUUCAGGCUCCAGUGGAGAGAAACCAGAGAGAACCUGGAGGUGAGGACGGUGUAAAGACUCAGAGACCUAAGAGAGAGAACGAGGACCAGUUAGAUAGUGAAAUUGGAGGGAGCCAUUCACCAGGGAGGAGGAACUGGGAGCUGAUUGGAAAGGAUGUUGCAGAAAAUCAGGCAUCAGAGAAGAGAAACCAGAGAGAGGUUGGAAACGAGGACGGUAGAAUGAUCUGGAGGCUUAGGGGAAAAAACUGGAGGCUUAGAGCGAAGAAACAGACUGUUAAAAAGUAAAGAUAAUGGAAAGACCCGUUUAUCAGAGUGGAAGAACCAGGAACAGGGUGGAGGUGGGAAUGAUGAAGAAAUUCAAAUACAGGGGAAGAGAAACCUGAGAGGGACCACAGCUGAUGAUGGUACAGAGACCCAGGCUCCUGCAGGAGAUGACCAGGGACAGUUAAGAGUUGAAAUUGCUGAAGAGAUCCAGGUACAAGGGCAAGGAAAUAAGAAUGACGGUGGAGUUGAGGAUGUUGCAGAACUCCAGGAUAUAGGAAGCCAGAGAAAGUGCACAGAUGAGGAUGUUGGAGAGCCUCGAGCACCAAGGGGAGGAAACAAGGAUCUGGUCAGAGGAGAGGAUGCUGUGAGGGACAGUCUCCAAGUCGACUGUUCUGGGAGUGAGAGGCCCACAGGCAGGAAGCACAGCCUACCAUGGCCUCCAGCCUUCACUGGCUAUGGAUGUGGGACCCGGGAACAGGAACAGGCAGUGGCUGUGAAUGGUUUCAUCUCUGCCCCCUGUCCUGAGAUGAAUCCUGUCCCCCACUGGGGUGAAGUCUUCCUGCUGGUGGGUGGGGAGGGAGAGCAUCUGGCCAGCCAGGGCACAACCCCUGCCAGGGAUCAUAGAGUGGGGAUCAGUCCAGCCUCCCAGCAGGCCCAACCUGAAUCCUGGAGAAGACGACAAAGGGACAAAGGGGUGGAUCCAGAGAAGGCCCCCAGCCUGACUCGGCAGUCCCAAAACCCUCCGUCUCUGACAGCUCCCUUGGGCAUGCCCUCUGCCUGCUCCUGUCUCCCGUGUGGCCCAGCCCCGGAAGCUGCCAUCAUUCUAGCGGGUCCUCCCACCGCCCUCACUGUCCUGCCCAAGGGGACAGGCCUCAAGAAGAGCAAACGACUGCUCCUGGAGUCCCUCAUGCGGAGGAGGAUUGCACACCUGAAGUGGGGUCUUCCCCGGCGGAUCCUGGAGUCCUAUUUCCUGUUUAACUUCUUAGGAUCUUGCUCAUUGACCCUUGCUGGGGCGAGGCUCUCUGGACUGAACACAGGCCAGGAGCUCCAAGCCCAGCAGGAAAGGUAUUGUGAGGCCCAAGGCUCCCCACCAGGCCUUAAGUCCCCAGAGAGGUUCCAGAGGGUUCAGCGCCCAGACAGAAAAAGCUCGAAACUUCCUAUACAAGCCAGAGCUCUGGAGAGGAACAGACCGCACAUGUCAGAGCCCAUUAAGCAUUUCCAUCCAGCCUGAAAAGGCCAGGAGAGUCAGGCCACCAGGGGGCGCCAGAGAACCACAGGAGAUCCAGGAAGCGCUUGCUAGGACCAAGCUCCCAGCUCCCAGGACCCCCAGGCCGGCAGCGGAGUCCAGGAGCUGGUGUGGCCCACAAAGGGUCGGAGAGCCUCCCAGUGAGAACAGUAGGGGCAGGAAAAUGAUCAGGUCAAGGGUCUCCCAGCUGGCAGAGAGGGCUCCCAGCAGAGUGAGGACUUCAUUCUCUAGGGCAGACCACGCCCACUGGAGGAAGGAAUGUACAUCCUGGGAGGCCUCUAAGCUCCCCAGACUCAAAUGCCAGCAGCUCACAUACUGGAGAAGAGGAAGCCUGGAAUCUACAGGGUGCAGAGGGGCUGGGCAGCAGCCUUCCUGCCAUUCUGCAGAACCUGUCAGCUUCAAAGGGAGGCUCCACUCUGCGGUGGCAAAGCUGGGCCUGACCCUUCUGGCCAAGAUGUCCUGGUCCCCACAGCUCGCCAAGCGCAAGCACUUGGCCCCUAACCUG
ensembl:lncRNA C22orf46P chromosome 22 open reading frame 46, pseudogene